rnacentral:rRNA from 1 species
UACAGAGGGUGCGAGCGUUGUCCGGAAUCACUGGGCGUAAAGGGCGCGUAGGUGGCGACCCAAGUCCGUGGUGAAAGCUCGUCGCUUAACGACGAGUCGGCCACGGAGACUGGGUGGCUCGAGCACUGUAGGGGCAGAUGGAAUUCCGGGUGUAGCGGUGGAAUGCGUAGAGAUCCGGAAGAACACCAGUGGCGAAGGCGGUCUGCUGGGCAGUUGCUGACACUGGAGGCGCGACAGCGUGGGGAGCAAACAGG